CUUUAUGGCAGCUGUGCGCGGGAGACCUUCGGGUCUGCCGGCUCCUUGUGUCUCCGGUUCGCCAACCUGCGUACGGCUGUCACCCUU
rnacentral:antisense_RNA from 1 species